rnacentral:rRNA from 1 species
UACGUAGGGUGCAAGCGUUGUCCGGAAUUAUUGGGCGUAAAGAGCUCGUAGGCGGUUUGUCGCGUCGACUGUGAAAACCCGAGGCUUAACCUCGGGCCUGCAGUCGAUACGGGCAGACUAGAGUUCGGUAGGGGAGACUGGAAUUCCUGGUGUAGCGGUGGAAUGCGCAGAUAUCAGGAGGAACACCAAUAGCGAAGGCAGCUCGCUGGGACGGUACUGACGCUGAGGCGCGAAAGCGUGGGGAGCGAACAGG